rnacentral:lncRNA from 1 species
UUUUUUUUUUUUUGCGCGUUUCGUGGUUAAGCAAAGGGGUAAAUGCGUGAGUAUGUUGCUUUGGUGGAAAGGAUCCGAUAGUCUGAAUUCAGUUCUUUUUCCUAUGUCUCGAACACAAUUACAAGAUGUAUCCGUACACAACACCACACUCUACACACUCUUUUCGAGAUGUAUGCUAAUCUAAAACAUAUAUGCAACUAUACUUAGGGCAACUUCAGUGUGCAAAACAGUCGAAUCAUGACGGUGUGGCGGGGAAACAAACUAAUAGAGCAUGUGGUGAAGGUUGAAUGCUAUGUGUCAGAAUAGAAAUCAACUUCCAAAUAGCAUUCGAACUCUGAUGAAGAAAAUACGUUAUCUAGCACAUGGUGGAGGGAGGGAGGCAAGCAUAAGACUUUUCUCCGUUUGUGCGAGCAUAGGACAUGCAUGAAGACUAAUAUUUCUUUUUACUGCAAAAAGAGUCCCACCAAUCGAUGUUUGCGUUGGAGGUAUCGGACAUUAGUUUCAUUCAUUUCCCGUGAACAGCAACAGUUGGCACAACACUGGAGCUGCCCUUACUGAAGAGAUUCAUAAAGUCUUCGACUCUGCAAAUGACUGGUAGACAUGACAUCAUCUCAUUAUGGCUUGUCGGAGAUUGAAGGUAGAUAGUAAGUGCAUUUUAGGGAAAAUACUCGAUGCUACAAUGCUAAUGGUUAGCACUCUAUCGAGUGGACUUACUACCAAGUUGAAAAAGGUUGUUUCGUUGAAUUUGAAGAGCUGAGUCUUCUAGUUUGUACGAUAUCUUCUUUUCAAAGGAUCGUAAAAAAAUGGUUGUCGUGUUUUUUUUACAGUUUUAAAAAUAUAGAUAUACAGCUGGACGAGAUGAAUUUGUACGUGAUUCUAAUAUUUUAUUAUGAAAAUGUGAUAAUGGAACUCGUUAUGAAUGAAUAAACGCACGUAACUUUCAAGUUCGUUACCGCACUUCGUAACUCGAAUUUAGAUGGACAUGUUUUAUCCGCUAAGAUGGAGGUGUAAACGGUGUAAACACACCGACCGAGUGGUUGAUGCCAGUGGCCGUUCAUGUGCUGCCACGUGUUACAAAUCGCGUAUGCCCAGCUAGUGACACGCCCGACGCCUCUUGCCUCCCAGAACUUCAACUCCAAACCCGGUCAGCCGGUCCUGUUCCUGCUUGACACACUGUCACGUUAAAUGAGGCCGGGGCUGGCGUCAGCACGGCGGUGGAAACUGGAACGUUUUCCUCUCUUUACCUCGUCCAAAAAGAAAUCCUCUUUACAUUUUCUAAUGAAAAAAAGAAAUCGAGUUCAAACGAUUUAUUUGCUAAUCAUAAGUAUUUCAAUUGUUCACAAAUAAGUGACGUAGUAUCAUUGUCAAGAGUAUUAUAAUGUCUCGCAAAAAAAAAGAGUAUUACAAUACAUCAAUUUAGUUACAAAAGGUAAGUCAAGUACUAGUCUUAUAACUUUUGGGACAAAGUGAUUAGUUUAAACGUAAAUUAAUUAACUUAUCCUAAACAGCGUGUAUGUACAAACGGAGGGCAUAGCAUGAUAUUGCUUGUUAGUUUCAGCUUUAUCAGCCAUCAAACACAGUAUUUUCCUCUUACAACAAAUCAGCCAUUUCAGCUUUUCAGCCGGCUUAUAAGCUGAAGCGAACAGACCCAUUUUUACAGAUGUGUCUCGGUGGUUGUCAAGAAAAUAUUAGCAACUGCAAAAUUUUCAAGCGCAACGUUGUUUCGUAUAUCAAUUUAGUUACAGAAGGUAAGUCAAGAAGCAUGAUACUUUUGCAGAUGUCUCUGGCUAUCAAGAAAACAUUAGCAAUUGCAAAAAAUUCAAGUACAUCGGAGGAUAGCUAUGUAGUAAGGUGAACAGAAGCUGGAUCUUGCAUUUUUCACAAGAGCUUUAUACUGCAGCAUUGCCAUCUGCGAUGCCACAGCCCACAGCUUGCUUAAAAAGCAAUUUCUCCCCAGACAGUUAUACUAAACCUAUGUAUAUCUAUAUAUCUAUAACAAGUUAACUGCCAACCUUUGGGCAUAACACAAGACCAGUCACUCAAACAA